CCGCACAAACUCAAGUAGGGGUGAUCAUUCGCUAACCUGGUUUCGAUCGUAUGUAUCGGGUAGCUCGCAAUAUGUGUACAUUUCUGACAGCGACUCCCUCCCUCUCCCAGUCACGAGAGGAACAUGUCCUUUAAGAGAUCCCUCUCUACAUACCUCAAAACAGAACGCACCUGUCAUGUUCCCCAAGGUUCCAUUCUCAGCCCCCUACUAUUUACAUUAUUUAUAAAUGAUCUGCCUAAUGUCUGCAAAUCCUCAAAUGUACACAUGUACGCAGAUGACACGGUAAUCUAUGCAAGCAAUUCCGAUCUACCACAGCUUGAGGCUGUGCUCCAAGACCAGUUUACAG